rnacentral:rRNA from 1 species
CGGCGGCUACACAUGCAGUCGAGCGGAUGACAGGAGCUUGCUCCUGAAUUCAGCGGCGGACGGGUGAGUAAUGCCUAGGAAUCUGCCUGGUAGUGGGGGACAACGUUUCGAAAGGAACGCUAAUACCGCAUACGUCCUACGGGAGAAAGCAGGGGACCUUCGGGCCUUGCGCUAUCAGAUGAGCCUAGGUCGGAUUAGCUAGUUGGUGAGGUAAUGGCUCACCAAGGCGACGAUCCGUAACUGGUCUGAGAGGAUGAUCAGUCACACUGGAACUGAGACACGGUCCAGACUCCUACGGGAGGCAGCAGUGGGGAAUAUUGGACAAUGGGCGAAAGCCUGAUCCAGCCAUGCCGCGUGUGUGAAGAAGGUCUUCGGAUUGUAAAGCACUUUAAGUUGGGAGGAAGGGCAGUAAAUUAAUACUUUGCUGUUUUGACGUUACCGACAGAAUAAGCACCGGCUAACUCUGUGCCAGCAGCCGCGGUAAUACAGAGGGUGCAAGCGUUAAUCGGAAUUACUGGGCGUAAAGCGCGCGUAGGUGGUUCGUUAAGUUGGAUGUGAAAUCCCCGGGCUCAACCUGGGAACUGCAUUCAAAACUGUCGAGCUAGAGUAUGGUAGAGGGUGGUGGAAUUUCCUGUGUAGCGGUGAAAUGCGUAGAUAUAGGAAGGAACACCAGUGGCGAAGGCGACCACCUGGACUGAUACUGACACUGAGGUGCGAAAG